rnacentral:rRNA from 1 species
GAUGAACGCUGGCGGCGUGCCUAAUACAUGCAAGUCGAGCGAACAGACGAGGAGCUUGCUCCUCUGACGUUAGCGGCGGACAGGUGAGUAACACGUGGAUAACCUACCUAUAAGACUGGGAUAACUUCGGGAAACCGGAGCUAAUACCGGAUCAUAUAUUGAACCGCAUGGUUCAAUAGUGAAAGACGGUUUUGCUGUCCCUUAUAGAUGGAUCCGCGCCGCAUUAGCUAGUUGGUAAGGUAACGGCUUACCAAGGCAACGAUGCGUAGCCGACCUGAGAGGGUGAUCGGCCACACUGGAACUGAGACACGGUCCAGACUCCUACGGGAGGCAGCAGUAGGGAAUCUUCCGCAAUGGGCGAAAGCUUGACGGAGCAACGCCGCGUGAGUGAUGAAGGUCUUCGGAUCGUAAAACUCUGUUAUUAGGGAAGAACAAAUGUGUAAGUAACUAUGCACGUCUUGACGGUACCUAAUCAGAAAGCCACGGCUAACUACGUG